UACUUCAAUGAUAUUACCUGUGUGAUACUAUAAUCGUUAUAACUUAUUUUAGAAAUUGGUCAUGCAUUGAGGUUAUAGGACCAGAUACUACUUACUUUUAUAAAUUCACUCAGCAUACUUAAGGCCAAUUUCGACCAAUUUGUGAAUUGGCAUGUGAUGCAUCAUUUGUCCAAAAUUUCAAAGUCCAUAUGUUACUGUAAAAACCCUGUUGAAACCCAAACAAUACCCAGUAACAACAGGGUAAUAAGAGAUAAUGUGGGUAAUCAAAAAUGUUCGACUUGGUUAUAACAGAACGAACUUGAGUAAUAACAGAAAAACCACUGUCAGACUGAAAACAAAAUCCUGUCCACAAAGUUUCUGUUAUUACCAUGUUGAAACCCUAAUUUUAACUGCAAUGGGGUAACAAGAAAUAAUGCCGGUGAUAAAAAAUGUUUGACUGGGUUAUAAAAGAUCGAACUUGAGUAACAACAGAAAGAUCCUGUCAUCCGGGAAAACGACAGGCUUAGUGUGUGUAUGCAGUACUUGGGACAUGACUUGUAACUCCAUUAUUUUCUUGUUUAGAAAGCUUUCCUACUUUAUUUAUGCUUUAGAAUGAUUUUGAUAAUUUGUUAACGUCAGAGCAGCUUUUAAGGUGUGUUCUCCACAUAUUGGGCCAAGUGCUCAGUGGCACACUAACUUUGUUAAUUGGAGUUUGCAGCAGACAAAGCAUGUCGUUUUUCUGUUGUUUAAAUUCAACUGUUGAUCACACCUUACAUGUAUCUAUUUCCUACAUGUAGUUGGUCCCCUACAGUCACAAAAUGACCUAGCUAUACUUUUAAGACCAAGGUCGUCUGUUACCAUAGCAAUCCUGCCCCCACAGGACCUCAGUUGCCUUAGGAAUGUCAUAUUGCCCCUUGGGACUUUCCCUCUGGCUCUGCUCCGUUUUAAACCACUGCACCUUACAUUCCCUUCCAUGCACUCCUGCUGCAUGCACAUUGAUCACUCCAGGCUCUGAGCUCCACUUUGAAAACCAUAUUCUCUCCUUGUUAGCAGUACCCCCAAUGUGGAACGCGAGAUGGAAUGGAAACAGGAACGGUUUAACACGAAGCUGGAUUUGAGGGACGACGAUGAGGAUGGGGACGAAGACAACGACACCGAUCCCAGGAACACCAACGUGUUUGUUAUCUCUGUCCCUUUCACGGAGAUGUUGUCACCGCCCGAUAUUGUCCUGACUCAACAACUUCAGCAUACUGCAAUGCCCCACAGCCCCAACCUGAUGGCCCCUACCAGCCGGAUCCCCAUAUGCACAGAAAAAUUAUUAACUGUACAGUAAUGAUCUGUUUGUAAAUGGUUUUAUGAUCUGAAUAAAAACGAAUAAGAAUGAGAAAAUGUACUGAAAUGAGUCAGUUGCCAUAAUUCCUACAUGUGUCUCCCAUUCUAAUACAUGUACUUAUAUUUACCGUCUUGUUUUAUGUUAACAGUUUUGCAACGCUAACAUGUCUGAGAUAACUCAUAGGUCAGGGAUAUUUCUAUUUCUUGCGCAUGAAACAAUUGAAUACCAAGGGUAACCGCUGUUCUUUGUUUUAGGUCAUGGACGUGUAUAACAAAAAUGGGCAAAAUUGGACAUGGGUGCUAAAGCGUCACAUAACUAUAAGCCGUAAACAGUUAAGAUACAAUUUGCCUACACAAACAGAUAAAGAAGUAAUCUUGGGGAUUUGACUAUCUGGGUUUGGGGGUUUAAGGCGUAGUGUGCGCACCUUGAAAAAAUGAUUGCUGAUAAAAAAAUAAAAGGUUACCAAAAGUUUCAUCCAUGUCAAAAAAUACUGCAUAUACAUGUACCAUGUUACAAAUCAACAAAAUUUAUCGCACCAUAC